rnacentral:rRNA from 1 species
GAUCCUGGCUCAGGAUGAACACUGGCGGCGUGCUUAACACAUGCAAGUCGAACGGGAAUUACUUUAUUGAAACUUCGGUCGAUUUAAUUUAAUUCUAGUGGCGGACGGGUGAGUAACGCGUGGGUAACCUGCCUUGUACAGGGGGAUAACAGUCAGAAAUGACUGCUAAUACCGCAUAAGCGCACAGGACCGCAUGGUCCGGUGUGAAAAACUCCGGUGGUAUAAGAUGGACCCGCGUUGGAUUAGCUUGUUGGUGGGG